rnacentral:lncRNA from 1 species
CCCUAGGCCAUGUGGGUGGAUGCUGAACGUGCCCUCCCCACGGUCCUUCUUCGAGACCCUCUGCCCUGUUGCACACAAAUCCAGGGGUGGUGGGAUAGGAAGGCCGGGGAGAGUGUAAGGGAGGCAUGCGUCUUCCUGUGUUCUGAGAGCUCCCUGCUUGUGAGAGAGGCUGAUGGGAGAAAGAGUGGAGCAGGGAGCAAGACAAUAACUCACAGGUAGACAAGAAUAUUUCUGAGAGUAAAAAGUGCUAUGAUGGAAAAAAAAUUGGUGCCACAGAAAGAUGGGUGUGGGACUGUUGUGAAGUCAUCCUGAUAGGAUCUGAGAAGGUGAGACUAGAGCUGAGAUGCAAGAGUGAAGGUAAAGACAGGGGUAGAGUGUAGGGAACAGCAAGAGCAAAGGCCCUGGGGUAGAGCAGGUGGCUGGAGCGCAGAGAGUGAAGACGGAGAGGACAGAGUGGGACCACAUGGUGUCACUUGCUGAACAGAGUAAAUUUAUUCUAAAUGUAGAAGGGAAGCCACCAGAGGGCUUUCAGGGGGAUUCAAGGCAACAACAUGCCAACCAGGGCACUCCAUAGAUGCCUGGAGCCCAGGGUACAGGUACAGGGUGUAUCCAGCCUCCCCUCCCUCCCCAAUCAGCC